rnacentral:rRNA from 1 species
AGCAGCCGCGGUAAUUCCAGCUCCAAUAGCGUAUAUUAAAGUUGUUGCAGUUAAAAAGCUCGUAGUUGAAUUUCGGGGUCAGUAGGUCGGUCGUGCCACUGGUAUGAACUGGUUUUACUGAUUCCUCCCUCUUGAAGAACUGUAAUGCCAUUAAUUUGGUGUUGCAGGGAAUCAGGACUGUUACUUUGAAAAAUUAGAGUGUUUAAAGCAGGCUUUAGCUUGAAUACAUUAGCAUGGAAUAAUGAAAUAGGACGUUUGAUCCUAUUUUGUUGGUUUCUAGGAUUGACGUAAUGAUUAAUAGGGAUAGUUGGGAGCAUUAGUAUUCAAUUGUCUGAGGUGAAAUUCUUGGAUUUAUUGAAGACUAACUACUGCGAAAGCAUUUGCCAAGGAUGUUUUCUAUUAAUCAAGAACGAAAGUUAGGGGAUCGAAGACGAUCAGAUACC